ensembl:lncRNA
ACCAAUCCAGAACCCCCCCUCAAACUUCCCUUUUGCUGCAUUUUUCAAUCCCUCUUCAACCCAAGGUUCAGUGAUGGGAGACAGAUGUGCGUGAUGCUCCGUUCAGUGCCGUUGAGCCGGAAGCCAACGGGUAUAUUAAAAAGUACACUGAUACUGUUACUGGGGAGGCCCCUGCUAUAAGACAUCCUCUGGUCGCUGCAGCGAGCGGAUGUUAUCGCAGUCUCAGGGGCUCAGGCUGCCCGCUGGCACCUGACAGGCAGGACUCAGGGCGCGAAUGUAAUACGUCAUGCGGAAGUAGAUCCGCUAUAAGUUCGACGUUACUUCCGUUCGCCGCCUCUCUCUCCGCGGCGACCUCAUGGCAACGCAGCGCGUUCACUUGCUCUCCCACUACUCGGACGUGAUGUCUGGUUGUUAAGCUGAUCAAGGAUGAGCUGAAGGUCCUGUCUGCAGGAACCCAGUUGGGCUUCCAGAUGUCUUUGUCCACGCAUGAAGAAAGCCUGAUUGUGCUGUAACAGGAUGAAGACCCGUUGACCGCAGCAGGGUCCAUUGUGGCCGACAAGGAACUGGGUUGGCACUCUGGAGACGCAUCUCCAGGUAGCUCAUCUGGUUUGACUUUACUUCCAGAGUGUGCGCUCGAGUACCCAGACUGCUCCUGAAGGCCAUUCUGCAGACCUACAAUGAGGAUGCAAGAGCUCUGACUGGCCCGAUCAAAACAUAAGACACCUGAACAUAAUUUUGCUGAGAAAUCAAUAAAGUUGGCUGGUUAUUCAUACAUUGUUGUGUGAAUCUGCUUAAAAUUCAAAUAUUCAUUUAGCCAGUCCUCACAAAGCAAUGGAUAAAGGAUUGUAGUGGCAAUUUAUCCUUGUGAGUGAUACACUUGUGUCAAAGGGCCACUGAUUCACCACAGGUUUGUUCUUUUUAUGCAUAAAGAGGGC